ensembl:lncRNA
GGCUCAGGAGCAGGUGGCCCUAAGACCGGGCGGGCAUUCCUGGACCUCCCCUACACAAGCCAGCGUUCGUAGCAGCCGGACCUGCACUACAGCCGGGCCUCAGCCACGUGGUCGCACCCUGGCCCCGCCCCCGACGUCCACACGCAGUCCGCGCGGGGCCUUGUGGGCCGUACGGCACCCCCUAGUCCCAGGCCAGGGCUUGGGGCAAAGCUUCGUUGCCCCUGUCCCUGCUGCUUUCCGGCUUCUGCAGUCGCAAUGCCUUUGCCCCAGGCCUACAGUCUCAUGAACCCUCUGCCUGGGCAGGGACAGGUAACAGAGAGAGAAGCGAUGUAAAGGUGCAUGUGGCCAUGUUGGGUGGUAGUUCACACCACUGGGAAGAGGCAGCUGGUGGCAGUUAAUCAGAUAAUAGGAUAAUGGAGGAUGAUGCUGUACCAGGAACUAACAAUCCAUCGGCGGAAACAUGGCCCCAAACAGCAUUCAAGACCAUACCCUUCUGCUUUAUUCUUAAGGACAAAAAAUACUGAUGCAGCAACAGCAAUCUAAGGUACUGUAAGAUGACAGCAUCAGAUGACAGUGAAAAGGAAAUCAUUGAGGUUCUUCAACCUUCAAGUCAUAUGAAGCAAGGUAAUAUUAGAUGUCUGUUAAUAAAAGCUU